ACCUCCUUUCUAAGGAUUUGGCCGAAAGCGCCGGAGCUAGCCUCUGGAAGUGCUUCGUCCGUUCCAAAGAACAUGCCGUCGUCCUCAUGUCCCUUCAUCCUGGAGAUCAGCAAGGCUGCCCGUUGGGCGGCCAUUGCUGUGAGCCUGAGCUGGCUCUCAGCCGCACGCGGCCCCUGGGGCAGCUUUGGCGCGGUGGGGGCCGGUAGCUCAGGUGGUUAGAGCGCACGCCUGAUAAGCGUGAGGUCGCAAGUUCAACUCUUGCUCGGCCCACCAUACUUCGCCCUGCGGCUUGCCGCGAUGGGCGGUGUUGAUCCGCAAGGACAUGUGGGGGCCUUAGCUCAGCUGGGAGAGCGGUUGCUUUGCAAGCAUCAGGUCAUCGGUUCGAUCCCGAUAGGCUCCACCAAGUCGCAGCCCGCGCAGCAUGAUGCUGCGAGCGAGGCGCGGCGGUGACACCCCCAAGAUACUCCAGAGAUGAAGACACGAUAUCCGGCCUUCGGGCCGGUACAUUGCGGGAUCUGCCCGCUUCUUUGACAUUGUGAAUGGGUUUUUUAAUCGAUGCCGUGGCGCAUCGUGCGACCAGACGCUGGUUGCACAAAUGAUGCGUUACUACAGAUGCAAAUCUGGCUGAGAUUAUCGUCCACGCCUGUGAACGGCGACAGCGUUUAUGCAAGGCUGUCGUUGAUGGUGUGGAUUCUCAAGCGUGAGGUAAGAGCAUUU
rnacentral:tRNA from 1 species